rnacentral:rRNA from 1 species
UGCAGCAGCCAUGUCACCCUGCAACUCUCAACUGAUGGCCCACUGACGCUCAGCAGGUGUGAGCCUGGCCAGUACCUGGAUGGGAGACCUCCUGGGAAAGCUGAGGUUGCUCCUGGAU